rnacentral:rRNA from 1 species
GACAGAGGUGCCAAGCGUUAGGCGGAAUCACUGGGCUUAAAGGGUGCGUAGGCGGGCAGGUAAGUCAGUGGUGAAAUCUCCGAGCUUAACUCGGAAACUGCCGUUGAUACUAUUUGUCUUGAAUAUUGUGGAGGUAAGCGGAAUAUGUCAUGUAGCGGUGAAAUGCUUAGAUAUGACAUAGAACACCAAUUGCGAAGGCAGCUUACUACACAACGAUUGACGCUGAGGCACGAAAGCGUGGGGAUCAAACGGG